GGUAAUAUAGCUUAGUGGCACAGCGCCUGCCUGGCAAGCGCAAGAUCCUGAGUUCAAUUCCCAGUACCA
rnacentral:tRNA from 1 species